UACGAAGGGGGCUAGCGUUGUUCGGAAUUACUGGGCGUAAAGAGUACGUAGGCGGUUUAUUAAGCUAGAUGUGAAAUCCCAGGGCUUAACCCUGGAACUGCAUUUAGAACUGGUAGGCUAGAGAGUGUUAGAGGUUGGUAGAAUUCCUAGUGUAGGGGUGAAAUCCGUAGAUAUUAGGAGGAAUACCGAUGGCGAAGGCAGCCAACUGGGACAUUUCUGACGCUGAGGUACGAAAGCGUGGGUAGCAAACAGG
rnacentral:rRNA from 1 species